rnacentral:misc_RNA from 1 species
GAUGAAGAACGUAGCGAAAUGCGAUAAGUAAUGUGAAUUGCAGAAUUCAGUGAAUCAUCGAAUCUUUGAACGCACAUUGCGCCCGCCAGUAUUCUGGCGGGCAUGCCUGUUCGAGCGUCAUUUCAACCAUCAAGCCCCAGGCUUGUGUUGGGGACCUGCGGCCGCCGCAGGCCCUGAAAACCAGUGGCGGGCUCGCUGUCACACCGGGCGUAGUAGAUUUUAUCUCGCUCAGGGCGUGCUGCGGGUUCCGGCCGUUAAAAAGCCUUUUUUACCCAAGGUUGACCUCGGAUCAGGUAGGAAGACCCGCUGAACUUAAGCAUAUCAAUAAGCGGAGGA